rnacentral:tRNA from 1 species
GGGCGGUUAGCUCAGUUGGUGAGCAUCUCGUUUACACCGAGGGGUCAAAGGUUCGAGUCCUUUACUGCCCACCA